rnacentral:rRNA from 1 species
AUGGUGACCACGGGCGGCGAGGAUAGGAUCGCGGGAUUUUUGCUACAUGCUACAACCGGCGUUGCAAUUUGCUACUACCGGCAUCCAAUCCGGCUGCAACCGGCAUCGCGGUUUGCUACAUCGCACAACGAUAUUUUGAUUUUUGCUACAAUCAGCAUCAUGUUUUGCUACAAACAUACUGCAAAAUGCUACAACCGGCAUGGAAGAAAGCUUCAACCCCAUGAAAAAAAAGCUUCAAUGGAUGUGGAAAAAAGCUUCAAUAACAAAAAAAGCUUCAACUGGUGUGUGGAAAAGCUUCAACCGGCAAAUGAGGAAGCUCCAAACUAUAGAAAAAGCUUCAAUCGAUGUGAAAAAAAGCUUCAAACCAUGAAAAAAGUUUCAACCGAAGCGAAAAAAGCUUCAACUAGAGUUUAA